ACACACUUAAGGCAUUGUCAGCGAGUGUCGGUUACCCAGCAUCCUGGGACAGGACCUUCUCUGUGGCAACGGUGCUACCUGCUCCCUCAGCCUCCGACUGCAGUCAUCUACUGAGAACACUCUUCCUGGGCCUUCUACACUGUGUUCUCAGGGAGUCACAAAGGGAAGCCAGAGAACAUUAUUGCCCUUCCUAGGAUGGAUGUGCGAAGCUGUGAGCUCAUGCCAUUGCUCUGGGCCAGGGCCAACAACCAGUUACGUGCCAGAUACAAGGAAAAGGCAUUGCACAGCCCGAGGAAAGGAGCCGGUGUAACCAUAGUUUGCCUGGUGCCUGCGGAGGCCCCAGUGGGCAGUGGGCCCGCAGAAACAGUGGAUAAUGCAUCAAACCAACAGAAUCGUGAAGAGGGACCAGGGAGAUGGCUCAGCAAGGAAAAAGCCAAGCCAGGUCGGGAGAAAGUUCGUCUACGGCAUGCAGCUCCCGGAAGUCUCCGGGGACCACUAAGUUAAGCAGCUCUGAAGGCUGCUGGAUUCCAGGGCGGAGUCUGAAUCCCAUGAAGUACAAUCUAAUCACCAGUAAUGAAGCGUAGGCGAUAAAGCCUGCUGUGAAAGUCGUAAGCAUCAUGUGAAGUUUCAUAGAAGUGAAGCUUGGAGAAAGGAGGGGAAACAGGUUUAGGCUGCCAGUCAGAAUAAAGCAAAGCCAUAGAAACCAA